UAACCUGCCCAAGAGAUCGGGAUAACACCUGGAAACAGAUGCUAAUACCGGAUAACAACAGAUGAUGCCUAUCAACUGUUUAAAAGAUGGUUCUGCUAUCACNCUUGGAUGGACCUGCGGUGCAUUAGCUAGUUGGUAGGGUAACGGCCUACCAAGGCGAUGAUGCAUAGCCGAGUUGAGAGACUGAUCGGCCACAUUGGGACUGAGACACGGCCCAAACUCCUACGGGAGGCAGCAGCC
rnacentral:rRNA from 1 species